rnacentral:rRNA from 1 species
UACGGGGGGGGCAAGCGUUGUUCGGAAUUACUGGGCGUAAAGGGCGUGUAGGCGGCCAACUAAGUCCGACGUGAAAUCCCCAGGCUUAACCUGGGAACUGCGUCGGAUACUGGAUGGCUUGAAUUCGGGAGAGGGAUGCAGAAUUCCAGGUGUAGCGGUGAAAUGCGUAGAUAUCAAGAGGAACACCUGAGGUGAAGACGGGUUGCUGGGCUGACACUGACGCUGAGGCGCGAAAGCCAGGGGAGCAAACGGG